rnacentral:rRNA from 1 species
GACGAACGCUGGCGGCGUGCUUAACACAUGCAAGUCGAACGGAAAGGCCCGGCUUUUGUUGGUUUCUCGAUUGGCGAACGGGUGAGUAACACGUGAGUAACCUGCCCUUGACUUUGUGAUAACUUCACGGAACUGGGGCUAAUACCGCGUAGGAGCUCCUGCUGCAUGGUGGGGGUUGGUAAAUUUCGGCGGUUGGGGAUGGACUCGCGGCUUAUCAGCUUGUUGGUGGGGUAGUGGCUUACCAAGGCUUUGACGGGUAGCCGGCCUGAGAGGGUGACCGGCCACAUUGGGACUGAGAUACGGCCCAGACUCCUACGGGAGGCAGCAGUGGGGAAUAUUGCACAAUGGGCGGAAGCCUGAUGCAGCAACGCCGCGUGCGGGAUGACGGCUUUCGGGUUGAAAACCGCUGUCGCCUGUGACGAAGCGUGAGUGACGGUAAUGGGUAAAGAAGCACCGGCUAACUACGUG